rnacentral:rRNA from 1 species
AGGACGAACGCUGGCGGCGUGCUUAACACAUGCAAGUCGAGCGGAAAGGCCUUUCGGGGUACUCGAGCGGCGAACGGGUGAGUAACACGUGAGUAAUCUGCCCAUCGCUUCAGGAUAGCCAUCGGAAACGGUGAUUAAUACUGGAUAUGACAUUCCUUCGCAUGUUGGGGUGUGGAAAGUUUUUUCGGCGGUGGAUGUGCUCGCGGCCUAUCAGCUUGUUGGUGGGGUAAUGGCCUACCAAGGCUUUGACGGGUAGCCGGCCUGAGAGGGUGACCGGCCACACUGGGACUGAGACACGGCCCAGACUCCUACGGGAGGCAGCAGUGGGGAAUAUUGGACAAUGGGCGGAAGCCUGAUCCAGCAACGCCGCGUGAGGGAUGACGGCCUGGUGUAA